AUGCACGCUAGCGAUAGGCUUAACACAUGCAAGUCGAGGGGCAGCACAAGGUAGCUUGCUAUCUGGGUGGCGACCGGCGCACGGGUGCGUAACGCGUAUGCAACUUGCCCUAUACAGGAGGAUAACCCGUCGAAAGACGGACUAAUACUGCGUAUGCUCACAACUUGGCAUCAAGUGGUGAGGAAAGAAAUUCGGUAUAGGAUAGGCAUGCGUCCCAUUAGCUUGUUGGUGAGGUAACGGCUCACCAAGGCAACGAUGGGUAGGGGAACUGAGAGGUUUAUCCCCCACACUGGUACUGAGACACGGACCAGACUCCUACGGGAGGCAGCAGUGAGGAAUAUUGGUCAAUGGGCGCGAGCCUGAACCAGCCAAGUCGCGUGAAGGAUGACUGUCUUAUGGAUUGUAAACUUCUUUUAUACGGGAAUAACAAGAGUCACGUGUGACUCCCUGCAUGUACCGUAUGAAUAAGCAUCGGCUAACUCCGUG
rnacentral:rRNA from 1 species